rnacentral:rRNA from 1 species
GACAGAGGUGCCGAGCGUUAGGCGGAAUCACUGGGCUUAAAGCGUGUGUAGGCGGACUUGUAAGUACCUUGUGAAAUCCCACGGCUCACCCGUGGAACUGCUGGGUAUACUGCGAGUCUUGAGCCACUUAGGGGCUGUCGGAACAGACGGUGGAGCGGUGAAAUGCGUUGAUAUCAACUGGAACUCCGGUGGCGAAGGCGGCACGCUGGACCUUUUCUGACGCUGAGGCGCGAAAGCCAGGGGAGCAAACGGG